GCCAGGCACGGUGGCAUGUGCCUGUAAUCCCCGUUGCCCGUUGCCGGGAGGCUGAGGCAGGAGGACCUCUUGAGUCCAGGAGUUCUGGGCUGUAGUGUGCUAUGCUGAUUGGGUUUCUGCACUAAGUUCAGCAUCAAUGUGGCGACCUCCUGGAAGCGGAGACCAACAGGUUGCCUGAGAAGGGGUGAACUGGUCCAGGUUGGAAACAGAGCGGGGUCAAAACUCCCGUGCUGAUCAAUAAAAACACACCAGGUACAAUUGUAUUCAUGCCUAAGAUGCCAGGAGGAAAGAAGAGGAGAGGACUACAGCAU
rnacentral:SRP_RNA from 1 species